AGCGGCGGACGGGUGAGUAACACGUGGGCAACCUGCCUGUAAGACUGGGAUAACUUCGGGAAACCGGAGCUAAUACCGGAUAACUCUUAUCAACUCAUGUUGGUAAGCUAAAAGACGGUUUACGCUGUCACUUACAGAUGGGCCCGCGGCGCAUUAGCUAGUUGGUGAGGUAACGGCUCACCAAGGCAACGAUGCGUAGCCGACCUGAGAGGGUGAUCGGCCACACUGGGACUGAGACACGGCCCAG
rnacentral:rRNA from 1 species